AUGUUCCACCAUCGCCAUGGCUGUGGCUGGCCCUUUCUCCUCCUCCUCCUCCUCCUGCUUUUCCCCUUUGAUGAAUCUUCUCUCUUGCGCGGACAAGCGGCGGCCGCCGAUAGUCAUAGGGUCGUCCUGUACCCUCAGUCCACGAGGGUCUCGUCCAUCGUGAGCAGCAAGUACAGGACCGCCUUCCAUUUCCAGCCACCCAAGAACUGGAUCAACGAUCCAAAUGGACCUCUGUACUACAAGGGCUUGUACCAUCUCUUCUACCAGUACAACCCAGGCAGUGUGGUCCCGGGCAACAAGACCUGGGCCCAUUCGGUCUCCGCCGACCUCGUCAACUGGCUCAGGCUCGAGUCGGCAUUGGACCGGACCGAGCCCUACGACGCCAAGGGCUGCUGGUCCGGCUCGGUCACUGUCCUCGCCGAUGGCCGGCCAGCCAUCCUCUACACCGGCGCAGACGACGUGAAGAACCAGGCCCAGUGCAUCGCCUUCCCCAGUAACAGCUCUGACCCGUACCUCAGGGAAUGGACCAAGCCCAGCAGCAACCCGGUGAUCCGGCCGGAUGGGCCGGGUCUGACCCCAAACCAGUUCAGGGAUCCGACGACCGGCUGGACCGGACCGGACGGGCAGUGGAGGAUAGCAGUUGGGGCCGAGCUGGACGGCUACAGUGCGGCACUCUUGUACAAGAGUGAGGACUUUGUGAGUUGGAGCAGGGUUGAUCACCUGCUCUACUCCUCCAACUCAUCCACCAUGUGGGAGUGCCCCGACUUCUUCGCGGCACUGCCUGGCAACACCAGUGGACUGGACCUCUCCGCGGCGAUCCCAAAUCGCGCCAAGCAUGUCCUCAAGAUGAGCCUAGAUUCCUGUGACAAGUACAUGGUUGGGGUAUAUGAUCUGGAGGCCGAUAAGUUUGUGCCGGAUAAUGUCGUGGAUGAUAGGCGUCUGUGGCUGAGGAUCGACUAUGGCAAUUACUAUGCGUCAAAGUCAUUCUUCGACGCAAAAAAGGGAAGGAGGAUCAUAUGGGGCUGGGCUAAUGAGUCAGAUAGUUCGUCGGAUGAUGCCGCAAAAGGUUGGGCUGGGAUCCAGGCGCUCCCCAGGACAAUAUGGUUAGACAGUGAUGGCAGUCAGUUGCUGCAAUGGCCCGUUGAAGAGGUCGAGUCCCUUCGAAGAAAUGAAACUAAUCAUCAAGGAAUAGAGCUGAAAAAGGGUGACAUGUUUGAGAUCAAGGGGACUGAUACUUUGCAGGCGGAUGUGGAGAUAGAGUUUGAGCCGGGAACCAUGGAUGAAGCUGAUGCUUUUGAUCCUUCCUGGCUAUUGAACACGGAGAAGCAUUGCAGGGAAGCAGAUGCAUCAGCUCCUGGUGGCCUGGGGCCAUUUGGGCUUGUGGUUCUAGCCUCUGAUGACAUGGAGGAGCACACUGCCGUGCACUUCAGAGUCUACAAAUCAAAGCACAAGCACAUGAUUCUUAUGUGCUCUGACCUAAGAAGGUCGUCCCUGAGAUCAGGGCUGUACACACCGGCCUAUGGAGGCUUCUUCGAAUUUGACCUUGAAAAGGAAAAGAAGAUAUCUUUGAGAACAUUGAUCGAUCGUUCUGCGGUGGAGAGCUUUGGUGGUGGUGGCAGGGUCUGCAUCAUGGCUAGGGUCUACCCGGUCGCGCUGGUCGAUGACAGAGGCGCUCAUAUGUAUGCUUUUAACAAUGGCACGACCGCGGUAAUGGUGUCACAGCUCAAGGCAUGGAGCAUGAAGAGGGCACAGGUGAAUGUGAAGAAGGGAUGA
rnacentral:rRNA from 1 species